UCUCUCCUCUCACACGAGCCACCUCCCCCUUACUGGCCAACACAGGAACUCCAUCUUCCGGCCACCGUUUUGGACGGCCAACCUAUCAAAAAGCUUCUCCCGACCCCCAAGAACAUAAUCCAACCAACCUUACCUCAAACCGUCGCUCGUAGUCACCGGAAUCGAGCUUGGAAGCUCACGGCCACUGUGAAGAAAAAACUCCGAUUCGGCCAACUCCGGCGAUGGUUCAACAUGCCGUUACCACCAUUCACCUCACCGGGUUGAGGAGCACCUAGCCCAACCAAUUUCGGUCCAAAACAGCCCCCGGAUGCCGGAGAUUCGACUUUGACCCGAAUGGGGUCCUUUUGACCCGACUUUGAUCCAGCUGAAACUGAACUUUCCGGCAAUCCCAAAGCUGUAUUCCGAGUUGUUUUCCUGCUCUGAACGCGUCGGUGAUGAUUUUGGAUCCAUACGGACAUCUUUGGAGCAUCCCGAGAGAUACAUCACAAAUACGCGUAUACGUACGAUAUACGUCGAGGUGUAUUGGUAUAGGUGAUCAAGGAGUUGGACUCGACACUGUAGACGGUGAAUUAUUUUAUGCACUGCUAUCGAGGUAGGAUUUCUCACUCUUUUGUUUCGAAACACCUUCAAGCCACCGAAUUGUUUGAAUGGUAAGCUUUGGUUUUCGCCUCAAUCAUUUCUGAGGGGAAACAAGCCUUGCAUGCUUACCAUUAUUUCUUUGUAUUAUUGUCAAUGACAAUGUUAUUGGUGAUUUAAUUUGUUAAAUAUAUAUAACGCUUGAAAUGCUUGGUCAUAAAUUGGGCAUUACGUGAUUCUUCAUGCAUCAUGAUGAAUGAAUGUUUCUGUAUAUAUUUGUUGCACGAAUGACAUGAAUUCUAAGAAUUUACAUUAGAUGCAUGGUGGGUCCCAAGGAUGGUCUCGGGCUCACGUUAGGUGAUGGAUGUUGAUAGAGCACGUGCAUCGAUGAUGGAUAGGAGCCUUGUGAUGGUCCUAAUCCAUAGGAUUCCUAUAGCGAUAUUUAUUACUGCACGCUGGCUAGUUGUCCUACGCUAGGCCAGGCGUGGCAGGCUGAGAUAUCACUGUUGGGCCAGCAAUGAGUGGUUGCGACCACAUACGUGCCAACCUUCUCUCUAGCGGUUUGAGAUUGACAUGAUAGAUGACUGGUAUUCUGGUUAUUGGUUUUGGUUGGAUGCUUGAGAGAGAGGUAGAGCGGAUGGAUUCUCAUCGGCUUAUCGACGUAGGGCGGGAAUCUGAUUCGUCGGCUUUGGUGUCAUUGGAUGCGGAUAUGGAGGUUUGGUUAGAUCGAUCGGGUGCAUUAGUUUGCAUUGCAUAUUGUUGCAUCGAUUACGCGUUGUUACUUUUUCAGCCUUAAUAUUCUUUUCUUGCAUUCUAUCAUUUUGUCCCUACUGAGCCUUCUGCUCACCCUAUCUACUUUGCCUCCCCACAGGUGAGACAUGAUCUAAUGCACAAACCGCGAAUCAGUAGGAGGGCGCAUGACGGAGGAGGCCUAAACUUUUGAUUAUUAUUUGGUGUUUAUAUGACACAUGUGUGUGGAUAUAUAUGUAUGGCAGGAAGUUGGCAUGUUUUAGUUGUUUAAGUACAUUGAUGUACUAGGGUGAUGACUGGUUGAUGUAUGGUUUUAUUGGGUUGGCCGGGAGUGGUGUCCCGUGACUUUUGUGUGUUUGAUGAUGAAGAUGAGAUAUGUGUUUGAUGGUGGACCUGAUGGUUGGUUGACUUUGAUGGUAUUAGAAGUGUUUUCUUUGUUUGGGUA